UACGUAGGUGACAAGCGUUAUCCGGAAUUACUGGGCGUAAAGCGCACGCAGGCGGCGCAUUAAGUCUGACGUGAAAUCUCCUGGCUUAACUGGGAGGGGUCGUUGGAGACUGAUGUGCUUGAGGCGAUGAGAGGGGUGUAGAAUUCCCGGUGUAGUGGUGGAAUGCGUAGAUAUCGGGAGGAAUACCGGUGGCGAAGGCGGCAUCCUGGACCGACAUUGACGCUGAUGAGCGAAAGCUAGGGGAGCAAACGGG
rnacentral:rRNA from 1 species